rnacentral:rRNA from 1 species
AAAUUUGGAGAGGCAUCUUCGGGGGGGAGCGCCGGCCCAUGUUCCUUGGGACAGGACGUCACAGAGGGUGAGAAUCCCGUGCCUGGCCGGCCGCCUCCUCCCGCGUGAAGGGCCUUCGACGAGUCGAGUUGUUUGGGAAUGCAGCUCCAAGUGGGUGGUAAAUUUCAUCUAAGGCUAAAUACCGGCGGGAGACCGAUAGCGCACAAGUAGAGUGAUCGAAAGAUGAAAAGCACUUUGAAAAUAGAGUCAAAAAGUACGUGAAAUUGUUGAAAGGGAAGCGCUUGAGACCAGACUCGGGCCCGGGCAAACAUCGCGCCCUUCGGGGCCGUGCAAUUGCCCGGGGCUGGGCCAGCAUCAGUCGGCGUGGCGGGACAAAGGCGCGGGGAAUGUGGCUCCCCUCGGGGAGUGUUAUUAGGCCCGCGCUCAAUGCCGCCGACGUCGACUGAGGACCGCGCCUCGGCUAGGAUGCUGGCUUAAUGGCCUUCAGCGACCCGUCUUGAAACACGGACCAAGGAGUCUAACAUCUAUGCGAGUG